CUCUUUGCCCAAAGAUUAACAGACACUUCUUGACCACUUCCAGAAGGUUUUUGAUAUUACUCAGAGGGAUGCAUACAAUGAGACCAGGGCUACCUGUAUGCUUAGAGCUACAAGUUGACCAUGUGUGUCUACCACUUCAAUUCACAAUAUAUUAUUGCCAGACUCUUUUGCUAAUGAAAGCAAGAUCCCAGAUCCAGAUCAGAAGGUGCGUAGGCACUGUACCAUAAAGAUGAGGUGGUCAUCUGAUGGAUUCUGGAGUCUCAGAACAGCAGGAAGGAAGGAAGCAAUGUAACUCUGGAGAAAACAGCGAGUAUGGAAGCCUCUGAAUCUGCUCUACAGUGCAAGGAUGGUGAGGGGGAAGACAGGAGACAUAACGUCUGCAGCCUUGUUCAUGGCAUCAGAGCAUUUAUACUUUAAGGCGCUGUUUCCGGGUGAAAACCUGGGAUCUCUGAUUGAGUCUUGUGUGGGCAAUGUGGCAGCCUGUUUACUGUUAUGUGGGAAGGGUGAGGAAUUCAGGAGUGAGAGACUGCUUCAGAUUAAAAAAACGUACAUUUAUUUACAGUUAGCAUAAUGCUUGUCAUGACAGGAAAACUGUGUUGAAGUUUGGCUUGUAGAUUUAAGCGAACAGCUCCUCUGCUUUCUUUGGGGUGGAGGGAGCAUAAUCUGUAGAAUCUGCUGUCAGUGAGGGCCCCGUUAUUCAUGCCAUAGAUUAAGAGGUUCCCCCUCACUGUAAUUGUAUCCCCAAAUACUGUGCUGUUAGAUCCCUAUUACAGAAAUGGAUGCAACCAUUCACUUAGCUAGGGGUCUCCAGGCUUCCAUUGGGAUGGGAAGUAAUCAUCAUUCCUGCCCCUGGUGACACCAACCAUCUGAUCUCUUGUGCUCCAUCUUGUUUUAUGUUCUUUGAAUAUAGCAAAAUGCGGAGACAGUGGGAUAGGACGAACACGGAUUGCAGUACUUUUCAAAAUUCAAAUCCAUUCCCUCUCAGUCCACUUAAUCAGUGGUUUGUCUGAGUGAACACUUAAGCCAUGUUUUUUUUUAUGGAGGAACCUUGGGUUUAGUCUGGAACUGCCAUCUUUUGUUAAGUCAAGUUUUACUGAGACUCAGAAUGAUAUAAUGUCUAACCUCUAGUGUUUUCUGUUUUUUUCUCUUAUCUUAUGCUAAAUUAACUGGCAGUUAGAGUUGGCCCAUUUGAAUUAAUGCCAUUUGCAGAGAAGUUGACUCACCAAAUCCCAAUGGAUUCAGUAGACCUGUCUGAGUUUAAUUCACUGCACUAAGCAGGAUUUUAGCCAUUAUUCAUUUGUUUGCCCUGCAAUCAAAUAUAGUUCUAACUUAUAGGAUCUAGCCGGAAAAAGCAUUACUUAAGCUUUUUAGAGCUACUAUGACUUUUAUUAGAUGCUUCCUCCUUGUGACGUCUGUCACUGAUUGCCUCUUAUUCACCAUGGCUAAUGAGCUGCAAUUUAACUGCCUUUCACUUUCUGUUUGCCACUAGAACAAAGGGGUUAUAUACUAAUUUUCUCGACUUGUUUUUCUUUAAUCACAAAGUAACAAUUUCACAAUUUAGAAAUUAAAUAAAUGAUGAGAGGAAAUCAAUAUUUAAACUCGUCAGCGACUAGACCAGUUUCUAUUAUUUAAUCUUGUGUCUAGCCACAUGAUCAUCAAUUAGCUACAAUCAGAAACAGCAAGGUCAAAAAUCUUAUGCAAUCACCAAUAGGAUUCUGGCCAGUACUGUACUUAAAUGAAAAACAGGGACAAUUAAGAGGUUUCACCAAUGAUGCUAAUGUAACCCUGAACAUAUAGCAUCUAGAGUCAAAAACCAUGAGCAGGAAGCUUCUAAUUAAAGUUGUAUGGAACCUUUAAUCAACUGGAUUCAAUUAAUAUUGCAAAAUAUCUUGACCACAGGACAGGUGUUUUUACUAGCCCCCAAGAAGAUAAUGCAGACCACACUGUAACUUGCUGUGAAGAAUUUGCACAACACUUCGCACGCAAAAUUGCUCAGAUCUGCUCUGACUUGGAUGCUGUAAAUGUCUCAGGUCCUGUGAAUAAAACCAUGGCCCCUGCUUGCUCUGUGUUAAUGAAUGAGUUUCAGUUUCUACAGCCUGAUGAUGUGGUCAGGACCCUUGGGGAGGUGAUGGCUACCACAUGCCUGCCGGAUCCUUGACUUCCCUGGCUCAUAAAAACUGCCAGAAAGGGUCUGGUUGAGUGGGUAGGAGGAGUGACGAACGUCUCCUUGCAACAAGGUAGGAUCCCAUCAUGCUUAAGGAGGCAAUAAGAAGACCACUGUUAAAAAAGCCCUCUUUGGACCCCAUAUUAUUGAAUAAGUACUGACCAGUAUCCAAUAUCCUGUUCUUGGGGAAAGUGCUAGAGUGGAUUUAGCCUUUCAGCUCCAGAAGUUUCUGGAUGAGACAGAUUAUCUAGAUCUGUUUCAGUGUGGC